CUCACCACUAGCGCCAGGGCGUACCCACAACCUUGAGCCGGAAGGACUUAUGCAUGGCACCCAACUGACAGCUGCCACAGACUUGAGAAAUUCUCCCAUGUCUGGAGGACAAGACAACUUGUGUAGGCAACCAUGCAUGAUUUCCGAGUUGAAGCUGAUGCUGCAAUCAUAGAUGUCACCUCAACUGCUUACUUCAAUGAACAGACCAAGCAUGUUCAUACAUGGUGUGGCUCGCUCACUUCAUCAUCAUUUGAGACAGAACAUCAGCCUUCAACUGUCUGCUGAGUCAAUAGACUUUCAACAUAUCUCAAGUGCAAUGGAAAAUUCAUGAGUUACAUAAAGAUUCACAAUGAUUUUUCUCUUCGAAAUUUUCUACUGGAGGCUGGAAAUGCUUCUUAUAAGUGGUUAAGUUGCAAUAUAUUUUGUCGGAUCAAAGGCUGUCCAGAGAGACCUUGUGCAUAUUUUGUAGAUAUUGGACAAGUGCAAAAAGAGAAAGACCUUGAGUGGUACACAGCAGCCAUUUUCUGUGUGCUUCUUCGAUAAAGAGAACUGGUCUGCUUUUUUUUGUCACAAUAGAUAACAUUGCUAACGUUUGCAAAUCU